rnacentral:rRNA from 1 species
AUUGAACGCUGGCGGCAUGCCUUACACAUGCAAGUCGAACGGUAACAGGUUAAGCUGACGAGUGGCGAGCGGGUGAGUAAUACAUCGGAACGUGCCCAGACGUGGGGGAUAGCUCGGCGAAAGCCGGAUUAAUACCGCAUGUGCUCUGAGGAGGAAAGCGGGGGAUCGCAAGACCUCGCGCGUUUGGAGCGGCCGAUGGCAGAUUAGGUAGUUGGUGGGGUAAAGGCUUACCAAGCCUACGAUCUGUAGCUGGUCUGAGAGGACGACCAGCCACACUGGGACUGAGACACGGCCCAGACUCCUACGGGAGGCAGCAGUGGGGAAUUUUGGACAAUGGGCGAAAGCCUGAUCCAGCAAUGCCGCGUGCAGGAUGAAGGCCUUCGGGUUGUAAACUGCUUUUGUACGGAGCGAAACGGUCUUCUCUAAUACAGGGGGCUAAUGACGGUACCGUAAGAAUAAGCACCGGCUAACUACGUGCCAGCCGCCGCCGUAA